GUCUACGGCCAUGCUACCCUGAACAAGCCCGAUCCCAUCUGAUCUCGGAAGCUAAGCAGGGUUGGGCCUGGUUAGUACUUGGAUGGGAGACCACCUAGGAAGACCAAGUGCUAUGGACA
rnacentral:rRNA from 1 species